UACGAAGGGUGCAAACGUUGCUCGGAAUUAUUGGGCGUAAAGCGCACGUAGGCGGCUUGGCAAGUCGGAUGUGAAAUCCCUCGGCUCAACCAAGGAAGUGCAUCCGAAACUGCUGAGCUUGAGUACUUAAGAGGAUCACGGAAUUCCCGGUGUAGAGGUGAAAUUCGUAGAUAUCGGGAGGAACACCAGUGGCGAAGGCGGCGAUCUGGGAAGAUACUGACGCUGAGGUGCGAAAGCGUGGGGAGCAAACAGGG
rnacentral:rRNA from 1 species